UGCUCCACCGGAUCGUCAGCAGGCCGUCUUAAUGGCAAUGAAGGUGUCCUGUGCAUACAGAGAGAAGUCUAACCUUUCCUCUCCCACCUGCACAACUGCUAGAUGAGUCCACUGCCUUGGUCCAAGCAAAAAGGCUCCUUCAUGCAGAAGGGUCACUCUGGACAUUACGCUAUCGCUCCUGUCAGAAUGUUUAUCAAUGACGACCUGUCAUCUGGAGUUUGUGUGGAGUUAUAUUAUUCACACAAAGUUAAAAACAUGUCAUUCUAUCAGCGAAUCACUAAUUUGCCCACUGUACAACUGCUCAACUCAUCAAGAGCUCCUGUAUUUGCCAUGGUAAGAAUUUUCUUCCUGUGUGUGCGUGUAUCAUUAUGAUGAUUAUAAAAAACAGUUUCCUACAGGUGUGUUAGAUAUGGAUCCACUGUUGUGCACCGUGCACAUUUUAUACAAGCAUGCCACAAAAAAGGCAACAAUGCCUUCUUAAGGCUUCAAAGGAGGCCAAGGCACUGGCAUCUCACAACACAUGCUAUGUCAGGAACACUGUCCAAGAUAAAAAAGAUGGCUUAUGAAGAAGCUAAAAAGAUAUGUCAGCCCAUUACCUCAACUCCAUCAGUGGUGCAGUACCUUGGCCAGCUUAUUCUGACCUUUGGCAAAAACAACGGCCAAAGUUUUAAAUGGCUGGUGGAGAACGAUGUUGGCUACAUUAAGUAUCUGUUUGAUCUGCACAUAAAGAAAGCCAUCCCAAAAGAAAAGCUAGCCCUGACAAGUGUGUGAAGGACUGCUGAGGUAUGCGCAGCUGUUUCCACAAGUCUCCUGUCACCUCGAGGUCAAUGUGGACAGGACCAUAUAUGGGCAGGGCUGCUUCAGGUCAUUUACAUUCCUGGAGAUGUGGCAGUGGUACAGCCUCCACAAGACUCCAGCCUGACCUGCAAGCUGGGACUGAUCAUGAGAGAAAAAUGGCACAGGAGGCGUACUGCUCUGUGAAGCAAUGGCUGGUGAUCAAUGAGAAGGACAUCACCACCAAAUCAGGUGCUUCAGGCGGUACAUUCUUGACAAAGAGGCACCUCUCGAACUCAUGUACGUGGACCGUGGCUGCUGCAGAGUCUACUGUCUUCUGUGAAACAGCUCUUCAGUGAGUGGACAUACAGGGGUAUGCUGGUACGGCUCGACAUCUUUCAUUUGGUCCCUCGAUUUGAUGUGGCCCUGCGGAUGGAUCACCACCUGAAGUAUGCCCUGUUUAUAUCCGCCCUCUCCACGAGUCUGUCCUCGCUGCAGCCUGUAGCACGAUGACGUAGCUGGAUCAGAUCCAAUACGUACUGGAUGUCUGACACGUAUGCGUGGUAUAGGGACUGGUAUUGAAGCUAGUAUUUAAUGUAAAUUAAACUGUAUUUAUGAGUUAUAGGUGCGUUUCAUAGGCUUACACAAAUAAUAUUAUACUGUGAUUUUAAACUAGUAAGUGUAUUCAAACUUUAAGCAACAAUGGCGUAGUUUCAAUGAAAGUUUUAGGAUGUAAGUUAUGUUUAUUUUUUUAUUUGUUUGAUUCAUUUUGGAAAUAAAAAUCUGC